GGAGUCACAACUGGUGUAUGGUCA
rnacentral:siRNA from 1 species